rnacentral:rRNA from 1 species
GACGAACGCUGGCGGCGUGCCUAAUACAUGCAAGUAGAACGCACAGUUUAUACCGUAGCUUGCUACACCAUAGACUGUGAGUUGCGAACGGGUGAGUAACGCGUAGGUAACCUGCCUGGUAGCGGGGGAUAACUAUUGGAAACGAUAGCUAAUACCGCAUAAUAUUAAUUAUUGCAUGAUAAUUGAUUGAAAGGUGCAAAUGCAUCACUACCAGAUGGACCUGCGUUGUAUUAGCUAGUAGGUGAGGUAACGGCUCACCUAGGCGACGAUACAUAGCCGACCUGAGAGGGUGAUCGGCCACACUGGGACUGAGACACGGCCCAGACUCCUACGGGAGGCAGCAGUAGGGAAUCUUCGGCAAUGGACGAAAGUCUGACCGAGCAACGCCGCGUGAGUGAAGAAGGUUUUCGGAUCGUAAAGCUCUGUUGUAAGAGAAGAACGGGUGUGAGAGUGGAAAGUUCACACUGUGACGGUAUCUUACCAGAAAGGGACGGCUAACUACGUGCCAGCAGCCGCGGUAAUACGUAGGUCCCGAGCGUUGUCCGGAUUUAUUGGGCGUAAAGCGAGCGCAGGCGGUUAGAUAAGUCUGAAGUUAAAGGCUGUGGCUUAACCAUAGUACGCUUUGGAAACUGUUUAACUUGAGUGCAGAAGGGGAGAGUGGAAUUCCAUGUGUAGCGGUGAAAUGCGUAGAUAUAUGGAGGAACACCGGUGGCGAAAGCGGCUCUCUGGUCUGUAACUGACGCUGAGGCUCGAAAGCGCGGGGAGCGACAGG